UACGAAGGGGGCGAGCGUUAUUCGGAAUCACUGGGCGUAAAGCGUGCGUAGGCUGUUCGGAAAGUCAGAAGUGAAAGCCCAAGGCUCAACCUUGGAAGCGCUUUUGAAACUUCCGGACUCGGAUUUGGGAGAGGAUAGCGGAAUUGUCAGUGUAGCAGUGAAAUGCGUAGAUAUUGACAGGAACACCAGUGGCGCAAGCGGCUAUCUGGACCAACAUCGACGCUGAGGCACGAAAGCGUGGGGAUCAAAC
rnacentral:rRNA from 1 species